UUCUCUGACACUCUAAUAUUCUUACUAUGUGUCUAUUAAGAGGAUAAUAUUGGCAACAGUGGAGGAUUUUUUAAUGAAAUAACGUAUGUAUUCAUGGCAUAUUUUUGCCUUUGGUGUACCCAAAGAAGACUGCUUCUAUUCUUGAGUUUAUUCAAAGAUAUGUCGGGGCAGUAACACUGAAGAAAAGAAAAUUCGACAUGAGACCAACCCGAAGGAGAUUGCUGAAGAAAAUAUGCGACCUCUAAAAUAUGCGAACUCACUGUAUAUAAUUUCGAAUACACUGUGUAACAAAAAAGCUCACAGUUUUUUACCUAGUUUCCCUGUUAUCUUACAUUGAGGAAAUCACAUUUUUUUCUUUUUAAAGUUUGAUUUCGUGAAAAUGGGAGAUUUCCCUAAAAUCGUUUUUUUUUUGUAGAAAAUUGUAUGAAAACUUUCAUUGUAAUAGUCUGGUGCGAUUGCUCUCUAGGGUUUUGAUAUUUCAUAGUUAUAUUCCUUGUAUUCUAUGUAAGACAUCUUGAAUUUAAAAAAACUCAAAAUCGAUCAAACAAGUUGUAUUUCUCUAGAUUUUUAACUAUAGUCCAAGUAGAUUUCACAAUUAAGUCCUCAUAAUGCAGUCACCCAUCCUUCGCUGAUAGUACUGUCAUUGGUAACGUACGUUAACGUAUUCAAUAUGCAUAUUAAAUUUGUGAACGUUCAUUAUCAAUGGCGGUACAAUGAGCGAGAAAUGGGUGACUAUGUAUAAUAGUACCUAAAUCGACUUGUUGGAAAUCUAGUAGAAAAAAAACAUAUUUGAAAAAACAUAAUUUUCUUUUAGCUUGCCAAAACGUUAUUCAACAUAAUUUGGUAUUAAAUUGUUAAGGAAUACGGCUCUGGAGUAUCAAAACACUAGAAAAUCGCUCCAGACUAUAUUGAAAUGACAAUUUUUGGCUGUUUUUUGUUGAAAUUUUCCACGAAAACCUGAUUUUGGGAAACCCCCUUAAUUUUCAAAAUCAAACUUGAAUAAUAUAAUGUACUGUUCUUCAGAUUUGGACCGUAAUCAAUUGGAAGCCGAAAACAAUAUAUUUUGGGGGGGGGGGAUGGGGGUCAAAUAUUAGAAUUUCUAGCUUGAGUUCAUGGUCGUAUUUGGAAAUUGUCUUAAGUCUUGGCGCAUGCUGAGAAAUUUGUUAUUUCGAUGACAUAUAUAGUUAUGAAAAAUAUGCCUAAAAAUCACCAAAAAACAUAUUGAAAGUUUUGGGGUCGUUACCACACCCCCUGUCUGUGCCUGUGAUUUUUAUGUUUAAUUUUUUGGUGAUUCGUUUUUGAGAAUAAACUUCUCUAAGUUUG